GUGGUGCACAACAUACUAAAAUAACAUUUAUGCAUAAUUCAAAUCAUACUUAUUCAAACACAUUGUUAAAAAUGAAAGACAUAUGCAAAACAUGAUUUAUAAACUUUUAGUCCAACAAUUUCAUUUAGGAAUUCUCAAAUCAAUUUCAUAAAAACACACAGGCAUACCAUGCCAUUCGAAACAUAUUCAUCUCAAUAGCCGGAGGCUUAUGAGAAUUCACAAGGCUAGCUAGCUCAAAU
rnacentral:misc_RNA from 1 species